CUACGGGUCGCUGCAGUGAGGAAUAUUGCACAAUGGGGGGAACCCUGAUGCAGCAACGCCGCGUGGAGGAUGACGCAUUUCGGUGUGUAAACUCCUUUUAUAUGUCAAGAAAAUGACGGUAGCAUAUGAAUAAGCACCGGCUAACUCUGUGCCAGCAGCCGCGGUAAUACGGAGGGUGCAAGCGUUACUCGGAAUCACUGGGCGUAAAGGACGCGUAGGCGGGUUGGAAAGCCAGGUGUGAAAUCCUACAGCUUAACUGUAGAACUGCACUUGAAACUUCUAAUCUAGAGUAUGGGAGGGGGAGAUGGAAUUAGUGGUGUAGGGGUAAAAUCCGUAGAUAUCACUAGGAAUACCUAAAGCGAAGGCGAUCUCCUGGAACAUUACUGACGCUAAGGCGUGAAAGCGUGGGGAGCAAACAGGAUUAGAUACCCGAGUAGUC
rnacentral:rRNA from 1 species